rnacentral:sRNA from 1 species
CUGUAUAUUUUUUAAACAGCCCUAAGAAAAGUUGCUCGAAAAAGAAUCACCGCCUACAAUUUUUUUGCUUCUUGCGCUACGUCAGUUUACUUACUACAAGUAAUGGGUAGUAUGUACGCCGGCUAACUCCUCAGUCUGGGGAGA